rnacentral:lncRNA from 1 species
UAUCCACUGAAGGAUAUCCGGAAGGUACAUCUACUGAUGGGUGGUGGAAGGAAGUGCACUUACUGACAAGUGCCAACCAGGUUUGGGUCAAGCUCGUGACGUUAAACAAGCGCUACUAGGAGGCAACGUAGAUUUCUUCUUACAAUUUUGCAUUUUAAAUUCCUAGAAUAGGUUGAAUUUUUAUUUUGGUGUGUACUCUUGGCUUGAAUACUUUUUCUGAAAAUGUUUGACUGACUGAUGUGCAUGAUGGAGCUAUUUGAUGAUUAUUUGAUGUGGAUGACAAUUG